rnacentral:rRNA from 1 species
UACGUAGGGGGCUAGCGUUGUCCGGAAUCAUUGGGCGUAAAGCGCGUGUAGGCGGUCCGAUAAGUUCGCUGUGAAAGUCGGGGGCUCAACCCUCGGAUGCCGGUGAAUACUGUCGGGCUUGAGUACGGAAGAGGCGAGUGGAAUUCCUGGUGUAGCGGUGAAAUGCGCAGAUAUCAGGAGGAACACCAAUUGCGAAGGCAGCUCGCUGGGACGUUACUGACGCUGAGGAGCGAAAGCGUGGGGAGCGAACAGG